rnacentral:tRNA from 1 species
UCCCUGGAGGACUAGUGGUUAAGCCAUGGCAUGCUCACCGCCACGGCCCGGGUUUGAUUCCCGUCCAGGGAA